rnacentral:lncRNA from 10 species
GUGAAAGACCAUGUCACAAGAAUGAGAAGAUGAUGGCGUGAGCCACUGUACCCAGCCGAGAUGGACAUUUUUAAAUGAAUAUUUUUAUGUGUAAACAUUUUAAAUGAAUCUUAAAUACAAGUUGGAGACUGUUCUAAUUCCUGAAAGCAGCUGAGUCUAUGGCAGCCAUCAUGAAGCUACCCACUGGAAAAGAGGAACUUGACAUGGUGUUACUGAGGAUGGCUAGUGAAAAUCACUAAAAAUGCUUACAUU